AGCGAACGUUAGCGGCAGGCCUAACACAUGCAAGUCGCACGAGAAUCCGGCUUCGGCCGGUAGUAAAGUGGCGGACGGGUGAGUAACACGUGGAUAAUCUGCCCUUCGGCGGGGGACAACAGUCCGAAAGGAUUGCUAAUGCCGCAUACGUCAGCGAGGUCUUCGGACCUUGUUGGGAAAGAUGGCCUCUUCAUGAAAGCUAUCACCGAAGGAUGAGUCCGCGGCCCANCAGCUAGUUGGCGGGGUAAUGGCCCACCAAGGCUUAGACGGGUAGCUGGUCUGAGAGGAUGAUCAGCCACACUGGAACUGAGACACGGUCCAGACUCCUACGGGAGGCAGCAGUGGGGGAAUAUUGGGCAAUGGGCGCAAGCCUGACCCAGCCAUGCCGCGUGAGUGAUGAAGGCC
rnacentral:rRNA from 1 species